rnacentral:tRNA from 1 species
GGUAUAGUUUAGUGGUAAAACCUCAGCCUUCCAAGCUGAUGAUGGGAGUUCGAUUCUGCCUACCCGCUCUC